rnacentral:tRNA from 18 species
GGGGGAUUAGCUCAGCUGGCUAGAGCGCCUGCUUUGCAAGCAGGAGGUCAUCGGUUCGACUCCGAUAUUCUCCACUA